rnacentral:lncRNA from 1 species
AACAAACACAGAAUAAUAGCACGCGGUCGUGUCCUAACAAAGCUAACGCCAAGUCCACCUUGUUUUAGUUUUUAAAUGUUUUCUAGGGUUCAGACAUAGCAGUGGGAUCUUAACUAUGCGAAGGUUUGAGCUUCCCACGCAAGUUGCCAUUUUAUAUUCCACAAAAAUAAACAACCCAUGGUCAUCAAGGACUCAUUUGAUUUGCAGAAAGAAUUUUUCUCACUCGAAUGUUUUUUUCUGAAAAGUUGUUGCAUGCCUAAAAAAUUAUUUUUUGCAAAUUUGGUUGACCAUGAAAAGUGGUACAUUCCAAAAGUGACUUAUAUUUGGUUAAGCAUCUAUUUUUUUUAAAAAAAUUAUGUAAAAUAUUUGUAUGUCCUUAAUAAAGAAAAAGAUUUUAUCCCAUUCUAUCUAAAAGCUUAAAGAUACUUUUGAACAAAAAAAUUAUCUCAAUUCUUAGCCGAUGGGAAUUGAACUUUUCCAUUUAAUAUUGAAAUCUUAUUUCUCCAGAAAAGCUACUUUUCUAUUUCUUUCCUUGAAAACUCCAAUCAAA